rnacentral:rRNA from 1 species
AGAAUCAACGCUGGCGGCGUGCCUAACACAUGCAAGUCGAACGAGAAAGUGGGAGCAAUCCCACGAGUAAAGUGGCGCACGGGUGAGUAACACGUGACUAACCUACCCUUGAGUGGGGGAUAACCUAGGGAAACCUGGGCUAAUACCGCAUAAUACCUACGGGUCAAAGGAGCAAUUCGCUUUAGGAGGGGGUCGCGGCAGAUUAGUUAGUUGGCGGGGUAAUGGCCCACCAAGACAGUGAUCUGUAUCCGGCCUGAGAGGGCGCACGGACACACUGGAACUGAAACACGGUCCAGACUCCUACGGGAGGCAGCAGUGGGGAAUUUGCGCAAUGGGGGAAACCCUGACGCAGCAACGCCGCGUGGAGGAUGAAGCCCCUUGGGGCGUAAACUCCUUUCGAUCGGGAAGAUAAUGACGGUACCGGAAGAAGAACGCCCCGGCUAACUUCGCGCCAGCAGCCGC